GGGGGUAUAGGUUUUCGGAUCUAGAGACCGGCGCACGGGUGCGUAACGCGUAUGCAAUCUACCUUUUACAGAGGGAUAGCCCAGAGAAAUUUGGAUUAAUACCUCAUAGUAUUAUGAAAUGGCAUCAUUUUAUAAUUAAAGUCACAACGGUAAAAGAUGAGCAUGCGUCCCAUUAGCUAGUUGGUAAGGUAACGGCUUACCAAGGCAACGAUGGGUAGGGGUCCUGAGAGGGAGAUCCCCCACACUGGUACUGAGACACGGACCAGACUCCUACGGGAGGCAGCAGUGAGGAAUAUUGGACAAUGGGCGCAAGCCUGAUCCAGCCAUGCCGCGUGCAGGAUGACGGUCCUAUGGAUUGUAAACUGCUUUUGUACGAGAAGAAACACUACUUCGUGAAGUAGCUUGACGGUAUCGUAAGAAUAAGGAUCGGCUAACUCCGUGCCAGCAGCCGCGGUAAUACGGAGGAUCCAAGCGUUAUCCGGAAUCAUUGGGUUUAAAGGGUCCGUAGGCGGUUUAGUAAGUCAGUGGUGAAAGCCCAUCGCUCAACGGUGGAACGGCCAUUGAUACUGCUAGACUUGAAUUAUUAGGAAGUAACUAGAAUAUGUAGUGUAGCGGUGAAAUGCUUAGAGAUUACAUGGAAUACCAAUUGCGAAGGCAGGUUACUACUAAUUGAUUGACGCUGAUGGACGAAAGCGUGGGUAGCGAACAGGAUUAGAUACCCUGGUAGUCCACGCCGUAAACGAUGGAUACUAGCUGUUGGGAGCAAUUUCAGUGGCUAAGCGAAAGUGAUAAGUAUCCCACCUGGGGAGUACGUUCRCAAGAAUGAAACUCAAAGGAAUUGACGGGGGCCCGCACAAGCGGUGGAGCAUGUGGUUUAAUUCGAUGAUACGCGAGGAACCUUACCAAGGCUUAAAUGUAGAUUGACCGGUUUGGAAACAGAUCUUUCGCAAGACAAUUUACAAGGUGCUGCAUGGUUGUCGUCAGCUCGUGCCGUGAGGUGUCAGGUUAAGUCCUAUAACGAGCGCAACCCCUGUUGUUAGUUGCCAGCGAGUCAUGUCGGGAACUCUAACAAGACUGCCAGUGCAAACUGUGAGGAAGGUGGGGAUGACGUCAAAUCAUCACGGCCCUUACGCCUUGGGCUACACACGUGCUACAAUGGCCGGUACAGAGAGCAGCCACUGGGUGACCAGGAGCGAAUCUACAAAACCGGUCACAGUUCGGAUCGGAGUCUGCAACUCGACUCCGUGAAGCUGGAAUCGC
rnacentral:rRNA from 1 species